AUUGAACGCUUUCUUCCUUCCUAACACAUGCAAGUCGAACGGUAACAGGAAACAGCUUGCUGUUUCGCUGACGAGUGGCGGACGGGUGAGUAAUGUCUGGGAAACUGCCUGAUGGAGGGGGAUAACUACUGGAAACGGUAGCUAAUACCGCAUAACGUCGCAAGACCAAAGAGGGGGACCUUCGGGCCUCUUGCCAUCGGAUGUGCCCAGAUGGGAUUAGCUAGUAGGUGGGGUAACGGCUCACCUAGGCGACGAUCCCUAGCUGGUCUGAGAGGAUGACCAGCCACACUGGAACUGAGACACGGUCCAGACUCCUACGGGAGGCAGCAGUGGGGAAUAUUGCACAAUGGGCGCAAGCCUGAUGCAGCCAUGCCGCGUGUAUGAAGAAGGCCCUCGGGUUGUAAAGUACUUUCAGCGGGGAGGAAGGGAGUAAAGUUAAUACCUUUACUCAUUGACGUUACCCGCAGAAGAAGCACCGGCUAACUCCGUG
rnacentral:rRNA from 1 species